UGACAAGGACACUGUAACAGGA
rnacentral:misc_RNA from 1 species